rnacentral:rRNA from 1 species
AUAAAUGAAAGCUUGCUUUCAUUUAUAUUAGUGGCGAAAGGGUGAGUAACGCGUGGGCAACCUGCCCAGUACCGGGGAAUAACAGCGGGAAACCGUUGCUAAUACCGCAUAACAUCUUUUUGAGACAUCUCAUAAAGAUCAAAGGAGAAAUCCAGUACUGGAUGGGCCCGCGUCCGAUUAGCUAGUUGGUGGGGUAAUGGCCUACCAAGGCGACGAUCGGUAGCCGAACUGAGAGGUUGAUCGGCCACAUUGGGACUGAGACACGGCCCAGACUCCUACGGGAGGCAGCAGUGGGGAAUAUUGCACAAUGGACGAAAGUCUGAUGCAGCAACGCCGCGUGAAGGAAGAAGGUCUUCGGAUUGUAAACUUCUUUGAUCAGGGAAGAAUAAUGACAGUACCUGAAGAACAAGCCACGGCUAACUACGUGCCAGCAGCCGCGGUAAUACGUAGGUGGCGAGCGUUGUCCGGAAUUACUGGGUGUAAAGGGCGCGUAGGCGGGAAUGCAAGUCAGAUGUGAAAUACCAAGGCUUAACCUUGGAACUGCAUCUGAAACUGUGUUUCUUGAGUGUCGGAGAGGAAAGCGGAAUUCCCCGUGUAGCGGUGAAAUGCGUAGAUAUGGGGAGGAACACCGGUGGCGAAGGCGGCUUUCUGGACGAUAACUGACGCUGAGGCGCGAAAGCGUGGGUAGCAAACAGGAUUAGAUACCCUGGUAGUCCACGCUGUAAACGAUGGAUACUAGGUGUAGGAGGUAUCGACCCCUCCUGUGCCGCAGUUAACACAAUAAGUAUCCCACCUGGGGAGUACGGCCGCAAGGCUGAAAC